UGAUGGUUGGACAAGAAGUAAUCUGUCUUAAAUUAAUAUAUUGAAUUUAACUUUUGAGUGAAAAGGCUUAAAUGAUCUGAAGGGACGAUAAGACCCUAUAAAACUUUAUAUUUAUAAUUUAGUAGUUAAUUUUAUUUGAGAUUAUUAUUUUAGAGUAUUUGGUUGGGGUGACAAGGAUAAAAUAUAAAAUAACUGUUCUUUUUUUUUUACAGUAAUGUUUGGGUUAAUGAUCCUAAAAGGGAUAAAAGAUUAAGUUACUUUAGGGAUAACAGCGUAAUUUUCUUUAAAAGUUCUUAUCGACAAGAAAGUUUGCGACCUCGAUGUUGAAUUAAAAGUUCUUUAUAGAGUAAAGACUAUAAUAGAAGGUCUGUUCGACCUUUAAAAUUUUACAUGAUUUGAGUUCAGACCGGUGUAAGCCAGG
rnacentral:rRNA from 1 species